rnacentral:rRNA from 1 species
UGCUCGAGUGGCGAACGGGUGAGUAACACGUGGGUGAUCUGCCCUGCACUUCGGGGUAAGCUUGGGAAACUGGGUCUAAUACCGGAUAGGACCAUCGUUUAGUGUCGGUGGUGGAAAGUUUUUUCGGUGUGGGAUGAGCUCGCGGCCUAUCAGCUUGUUGGUGGGGUAAUGGCCUACCAAGGCGUCGACGGGUAGCCGGCCUGAGAGGGUGUACGGCCACAUUGGGACUGAGAUACGGCCCAG